GGUGUGAGGCGCAGGAGCCGAUGGAAGUCUACACCUCACACCGGCGCUCAGAGUGUAUGGAGGGGGCGGCGGCCUCCAGCUGACUGCAGAGCCCCCUUAUCUCCCCUCCCGGAGGAUGGACGGAGCUCAGAAGACACAGCAGGGGGAGAGAGAGGAUGUAGACAGCUCCGUGCACAGCUCCAUCCCCCGCACACAGCUCUAUCCCUCCCCCUCCCCCUGUCUCCACAGGACCUAAUCCACCACGGGGAGGUUGCUUGUUUGCACGGGGAAAACACAGAGCAGGGGGGGAGGGGGAGGACGGAAAUCUGACCUCACACCGGCCGGGACUACAGCUCUGAUGUCCACUCAUGGCGGCUCAGAGGAUCAGAAUGCAUUGGCAUAGUGAGGAGACGUCUGGGCAUCAAGUUCUGCAGAGAGAAGAUUUAGCUGGAACAAAUCCUGGCGCCAAUCAGAGAGCAGCACUACUGAAAUAGAACUCCCAGGAGUGAGGGGCCGGUGCUGGACACUGUGUAGGGACGCGGGAAUGCAAAGUCAUACACAUGACUGUGACUGAUGCACUAUCUCCAGGACAUGGAGUAGCAUUUCCGGACCUACAGCAAGACGUUGGAUGAAGGCAUAGCCCCAGAAAUAACACUGGUCCUGUUCAUCAGUGAGGGGCCGGUGCUGGACACUGUGUAGGGACACGGGAAUGCAAAGUCAUGCACAUGACUGUGACUGAUGCACUAUUUCCAGGACAUGGAGUAGCAUUUCGGGACCUACAGCAAGACGUUGGAUGAAGGCACAGGCCUAGGAAUCAUGCACAUACACAGAAA